UGUUCUUUUUAACUGUGUUACU
rnacentral:miRNA from 1 species